CGGCGGGCCAACGAAGGGUCCUUGGAAUAUGCUACAAAGUAUACUACCGUACUCCUCAAAAAUGUCAAGGCCUUCAAAAAUUAGGAAAGUCUGAGAAAAUGUCACCACCAACAGGAGCCUAAGGAGACAAGAACCAGUUCGUUCAUCUCACAGGACGCAGAAAAGGGAGAUCCCCACCAUGUCUGGCCCCUGCCGCAUCAGGCCCCCUCAUUCUGGCGAUGAACGUGGGCCAUGAAAGAGGCAACAAGAGAAAACUCCAACGCCCACAUGGAUUCCUGCAACAAUGGAUCCCGGAGAGGACCUGAUAGGACUACUGCAGCCACAGAAUAAGCAGUGGCCCACAAGAACAGAGGAGAAAUAGUCCAGAAAUAAAAAUAGUGAAGAUGCCUUGCCAUGCUAGCAGUCAGCACCUGUGCAUUGCUGCAGGUUGACCAGGACCAAGGGCAAGGAAGAUCGGUGUGCACGCUUACAGACCAUGUGUGAACACCCCUCUGCAUAGAAGUCAAAAUGUUUGAUGUUUUCUGUUUUUACCAGGACCCUGACUUGGGGUCUUGCUUUAUUUAUAACACAGGGAAUGGUAUUAACUACCACAUUAAAAUAAAUAUUAUACCUCAGGCAUUAACCAUUUUUACAGAUAGAUCCAGUUCUGGAAAGGCUAGAUCUGCUGCAGCAGGGGAGCAAAGAUCCUUCAAACUUUUUAUAUUUCAUUAGAAAUACAAGCUCUUAUUUAUGCCUUAACAGAUUUUGCUACGGAGCCCAUCAACCUAUAGUAAUAGUGCUUAUGUGGUAAGUAUGGCAAAAAUUAUUAAAACAGCUACUAUAGGGCACACUAAUUCAGAGGAAACUUUUCAUUUAAUUUUCCGCCUUUAAAAUGUUAUUAGAGAAGGACAAUGUCCAUGUUUUAUUGGAAGCAAUGUCCUCAGUGUGUUAUCCACCUCUCUGUGCCAACUUUAGGGGGUAAAUCCCCGAGGACUUAAACCUAAUCAAAUUGACAAAAUAGAUGUUACUCAAUUGUAGAAAGAGCCAAUCAUACUCUUAAAAUCAUUUAUUAAAACAAAAAGGGGAGACAGAUGUUAUGUGUCACCUCAAGAGAGACUCAGUCAUGCUAUUUAUACUUUAAAAAUUUUGAAUUAUAAUGCAAAGGAUCGUACAGCAGGUGAAAGGCAUCAGGCCUCCUGUACAAUAGCUUCCACAAGUAAGCUAGGUGGAAGGAAGCAUAAACCAGACAAGAGUUUUAUUAGAUUCAGUAAUAAUGUGGGGAAGAGGUUGUGUUUUAUAUCUUUCCAGAAGGAGCAAUGAAGCCAAUUUGGGUGCCAGAGCAUUACGUCCAUCACCACAAUGGACCCAGAGAAGCUCCUGUGUCCCUUCACUCAAAAGGACUGAGAGCUGCCCUGAUGACAGCAAAGCGGAAGAAGAAAACUGAAAGCUAAGCUACACAGGGGACUGAGGUGCCAACAUGGAGUCAUCUGAAGAAAACCACUGAAGCACAGCAGAUUGUGGAAAAGCAAGAAGUUGAAGCUACUUCUUCAAUCAUGUUUCUGGCCAUGCUAGCAUUGGUUAGCUACCAGUCUUCUGCAAACUCUUGCACAGCCAAGUCCAAGGACUCGAGUAAAUCAGCAAAAUAAACUUUCAUUUAGUA